rnacentral:rRNA from 1 species
GCCAGCAGCCAUAUCGCUCUGCAACUUACAACUGGCAACCCACUGAAGCUAAGCAGGUGUGAGCCUGGUCAGUACCUGGAUGGAAGACCUCCUGGGAAAAACUAAGGUUGCUGCUGGAA